rnacentral:lncRNA from 1 species
GCUCUCCUCCUAACCGCUCUUCACACUACCCGCCCUCCCCACUAACGGUGUUUCCUCACUCACCCCGCUCGCCACCCUACCCACUCUCCCACUAUCUGCUCUCCUCACUACCCACUCUCCGCAACCUCAACCCGCUCUCUCCUCCUACCCCUCUCCUCACUAACCCGCUUUUCUUACUACCGCUCUCCUCACUACCCCCGCUACUCCUCACUGCCCGCUCUCCUCACUUCCCGCUCUCCUACACUACCCGCUCUCUCUACUACCUGCUUUCAACACUACCCGCUCUCCUCACUACCCGCUCUCCUCACUACCCGCUCUCCUCACUACCC